UAAUAAACCUGAUGGGAACGAAAAUCCUUUUUGUUAACCAUACAUGCUAUUUCCAGAAAUAUCUCAACAAAAAGAUUGUCGUGUACAGCAGGACACUGA
rnacentral:sRNA from 1 species